UACGGAGGAUCCAAGCGUUAUCCGGAUUCAUUGGGUUUAAAGGGUGCGUAGGCGGCUUAUUAAGUCAGCGGUGAAAUCCUAGGGCUUAACCCUAGAACUGCCAUUGAUACUGAUGAGCUUGAGUAGACUUGAAGUGGGCGGAAUGUGUCGUGUAGCGGUGAAAUGCUUGGAUAUGACACAGAACACCGAUUGCGAAGGCAGCUCACUAAAUUGUCACUGACGCUGAGGCACUAAAGCGUGGGGAUCAAACAGG
rnacentral:rRNA from 1 species